UUAGAGCUGAAACAACUAAUCGAUUUAAUCGAUUAUAAUCGAUUAUUAAAAUAGUUAACAACUUUUUUAGUCAUCGAUUAGUUGUUUAAUAAUCAUAUUUUACCGCAUAAAGUCUAUUUUUUACCACAAUCUGACAUCGGUUACAAUCUGUUAAAUUUGCCGCCAGUGUGUGGCAGUAAUGAGCCACUGAUCUACCAGUGGGGCCGUAGAAGAAGAAAUUAGCCAAUAAGUGCCCUCGGUUUUCAUGACGUAUCACGUUACUGACGCGCAUCUUGCUGUGAGAGAUGGCGGAUCAACAACAAAUACGGAAGAAAAAUAGAAGCGACAAAACAAGAGAAACCCCGGACAAAAACCUCACGAGUAUGGGAGCACUUCACUAGAUGCCUUGAAAAGACCGGUGACCUACAAAAUAUGCAAAAACCAUGGCACGACGGAAGCACGACGUCCCUAAGUGAACAUUUGAGACGAAAACGUGGGGGCUGAUGCAGCAGAGGAAUGUCCGAAAAAAACAAGCAACGAUGGACAACUACAUGGGGAACAAGACACUCACCCCCAGCAAUGCAUACCACUUACAAACUCUAUUCCAGAUUCUACAUUAUUUGUUAUGGAAUUUACCUCUUAUAUUUUGAUGCCAAAAAAUUAUUCUGGACUGAUAUUUUGCACUGUUUAGCUCAUUUUACACUGCUGACUGUGGUCAUGUGCAAUAAAAUAGAUUGCAGUCAACUGCACAA